GCCAGUGAUGACUGUUAUGGUAUCAGAUCAAAUGCAGGCUUUUUAAGAUUUGCAUAGAUGUUGAUAAUUUUAUGAACUAGGACGGUCUGAGGC